AAGGCUUAAAUGUUAAUAAUAGACGAGAAGACCCUAUAGAUCUUUAUUUAAUUAAUGUUUUAAUAAUUUAGGAUUAUUUUAAUUUAAAAUUUUAAUUAAAUUUUAUUGGGGUAAUAUAAAGAUUGAAUAAAUUCUUUUUAUUAAUUACAUUGAUUUAUGAAUAAAUGAUCCAAUAUUAUUGAUUAUAAGAUUAAGUUACCUUAGGGAUAACAGCGUAAUUUUUUUGGAGAGCUCAUAUCGAUAAGAAAGU
rnacentral:rRNA from 1 species